GAUGAACGCUGGCGGCGUGCUUAACACAUGCAAGUCGAACGAAGAUGCCGGAGUGCUUGCACUUUGGCAGACUGAGUGGCGGACGGGUGAGUAACGCGUGGGUAACCUGCCUUAUACAGGGGGAUAACAGUUGGAAACGACUGCUAAUACCGCAUAAGCGCACGGUAUCGCAUGAUACAGUGUGAAAAACUCCGGUGGUAUAAGAUGGACCCGCGUCUGAUUAGCUUGUUGGUGAGGUAACGGCCCACCAAGGCGACGAUCAGUAGCCGGCCUGAGAGGGUGAACGGCCACAUUGGGACUGAGACACGGCCCAAAACUCCUACGGGAGGCAGCAGUGGGGAAUAUUGCACAAUGGGGGAAACCCUGAUGCAGCGACGCCGCGUGAGUGAUGAAGUAUUUCGGAUGUAAAACUCUAUCAGCAGGGAAGAUAAUGACGGUACCUGACUAAGAAGCACCGGCUAAAUACGUG
rnacentral:rRNA from 1 species